rnacentral:rRNA from 1 species
CGGUGGAGUAUGUGGUUUAAUUCGAUGCAAACCGGAGAACCUCACCUGGGUUUGACAUGUACGUGGUACGGAUCUGAAAGGUGAAGGACGGUACCCUUUCGGGUACCGAGCGUACACAGGUGCUGCAUGGCUGUCGUCAGCUCGUGUCGUGAGAUGUUGGGUUAAGUCCCGCAACGAGCGCAGCCCCUACGCUGAGUUACCAGCACGUAAAGGUGGGGACUCUCAGUGGACUGCCGGCGACAAGCCGGAGGAGGGUGGGGACGACGUCAAGUCAUCAUGGCCCUCAUGUCCAGGGCGACACACGUGCUACAAUGGCCGGCACAACGGGAAGCGACGGCGCGAGUCGUAGCGGAUCCCUCAAAGCCGGUCCCAGUUCGGAUUGCAGUCUGCAACUCGACUGCAUGAAGCCGGAAUCGCUAGUAAUCGUGGAUCAGCCAAGCCGCGGUGAAUACGUUCCCGGGCCUU